rnacentral:rRNA from 1 species
CAAACAGGAUUAGAUACCCUGGUAGUCCACGCCGUAAACGAUGUCGAUUUGGAGGUUGUGCCCUUGAGGCGUGGCUUCCGGAGCUAACGCGUUAAAUCGACCGCCUGGGGAGUACGGCCGCAAGGUUAAAACUCAAAUGAAUUGACGGGGGCCCGCACAAGCGGUGGAGCAUGUGGUUUAAUUCGAUGCAACGCGAAGAACCUUACCUGGUCUUGACAUCCACAGAACUUUCCAGAGAUGGAUUGGUGCCUUCGGGAACUGUGAGACAGGUGCUGCAUGGCUGUCGUCAGCUCGUGUUGUGAAAUGUUGGGUUAAGUCCCGCAACGAGCGCAACCCUUAUCCUUUGUUGCCAGCGGUCCGGCCGGGAACUCAAAGGAGACUGCCAGUGAUAAACUGGAGGAAGGUGGGGAUGACGUCAAGUCAUCAUGGCCCUUACGACCAGGGCUACACACGUGCUACAAUGGCAUAUACAAAGAGAAGCGACCUCGCGAGAGCAAGCGGACCUCAUAAAGUAUGUCGUAGUCCGGAUUGGAGUCUGCAACUCGACUCCAUGAAGUCGGAAUCGCUAGUAAUCGUAGAUCAGAAUGCUACGGUGAAUACGUUCCCGGGCCUUGUACACACCGCCCGUCACACCAUGGGAGUGGGUUGCAAAAGAAGUAGGUAGCUUAACCUUCGGGAGGGCGCUUACCACUUUGUGAUUCAUGACUGGGGUGAAGUCGUAACAAGGUAACCGUAGGGGAACCUGCGGUUG